UACGGGGGGGGCAAGCGUUGUUCGGAAUUACUGGGCGUAAAGGGCUCGUAGGUGGCCAACUAAGUCAGACGUGAAAUCCCUCGGCUUAACCGGGGAACUGCGUCUGAUACUGGAUGGCUUGAGUUCGGGAGAGGGAUGCGGAAUUCCAGGUGUAGCGGUGAAAUGCGUAGAUAUCUGGAGAAACACCGGUGGCGAAGGCGGCAUCCUGGACCGACACUGACGCUGAGGAGCGAAAGCCAGGGGAGCAAACGGG
rnacentral:rRNA from 1 species